ensembl:lncRNA
UUUACAUUUACAAACACCAGCGCAGAACACAAUCUGCAGUUGCCAAAUGUUUCCUUUUGAAACAGUUUUCGGCAGUGCAUAAAUCAGCAAAACAAACAAAGGGCUGUGCAGCCAGCUAAAACUGAAGAAAAGGAUUUCAGAUUGAGUCCGGGAUAUUUCACAAAGUGCGAAUGUGGCAUAGACUCCCCCUGCACUGAAGGAGCCAGAUCCCUGGAAGCAUCCAACAUUUCCUGUAGAGAGCAAGACCAGAGUCAUUACAGCACUGGCCAGGGAUGCAGGCAGUCUGAAGCAAACAUUCAAACAAAACAGUCAGCAUCGGCAGAGAGAUUUACACGGCAUGCUUGAUUUAGGAUGUCAGAUUCCCAACUGCUAUGGGGCUGAGAUGAAGUGGAUGGCCUGGGGCAAUGUCAACAUUGGGGCUUUGGCCCCUCUCAACCCACUUGUGUGAGAGGGAGAGACCAUGACCAAGUCCAGGAAACAGCUGCGGAAAAGAGUGUAAUCCCAGGCUCGGAGGUACAAAGGACACCCUCCAGGUAUUGAUCUUUCUGUGGCAGAGAAGAAAAAGGAAGACUUUGGGUACACUGCAGAGUGUAAGCUGAGGACCAUACAGAAGGAGUGAUUGGUCUAAUUCUCAUAUUCAGGGUGACCUAACUCUCACGAUGAGCCGAUACAGUGGACACUUGAGGUAUGGGGAGGAAGACAGACUGAUGGUUUUUGUGUUGGAUGCAGAUUUGGAUAUAUAUCAAUACUCCCUACCAUCUUGUUCUGUUUAAGGUUGUUCUUUUUUCAUAUUUUAUACCUCCUGGGGUCGAAACUGUAUAUGGUGCGGCAAAUGAAGUUCAUGUUGGUAAUGGAGAUUGAAUUGUAUUACAGAACAGCAGACACUUGAAGUAGCAUUCAGUCAUACUUUAUUUUUAUAUUUUCAAUAGACCAAUUAUUACCAGUGGAGGUAUGCAUAUUUUGUGGAUUAAUGUCAGUCAUAACACUUUUUU